UAAGAUGUGAAUCGCAUACACAUACUCUUACAAAAACUUCGUUUGAAGUUGUUAAUAAUAGUACAUGAGAAAUAUGAGCAUUUCAAUUGAGUUUGGACAUUAACCGUUGCAAACACAUUGGUUGAACGCAAGCGUUGUGACGCUUACACAGUCUGAUAAAAGUAUCGCUACAUGACUGUGUUACAAAUGAUUGAUGUAUACUUUUACGUGUGAGUGGUUAUAUCAAAUUGAAGAGCUAAAACAGCUUAGAGAGCUUAAACAGCUCAACUUGUUAGGCUUUGUAAGCAUUUGGAUGAUGUGAAAUGUGCGGAAUGUAAAAGUCGACCUCAGUGUAUGGACAUAAAAUGUUUCGGCAUUCGAUGUAUCUAUAUGCUAAAACACACCAAAUGGCGACCAGAGUUCUAUUAAUCUGUGCAAUGUGCCUGAUUGGGAGAGGUAACUCGACCUGUCCGGAAUCGAAGUAUCUGGUGUCUGGAACACGUCCUAUUCCUGACGAAUAUCUGACGGCUUCUAGUGAAUAUCAUCCCGAAAAGUUAUUCGACGACCAUAGUCCGAGAAGAUCCAGGCUGGAUACUAAGGAAGUAGCUAGUGUUGAAAAAUUUCUGUGUGGCGGUUGGGCUGCC